GUCCCUGUAGCGCAAUGGAUAGCGCUAAUCCAAAGGUCGAGGGUUCGAAUCCCACCUGGGAUG
rnacentral:tRNA from 1 species